ensembl:lncRNA
CAGUUUGUCUGUGAGAUGAUUGCCCAACCAGAAGGAUCGUGGUAAACUUUUCCUUUUGUGGGUUAAAGAACAACAACUUCUUGACUUUGCAUUGUAUUUUGAGAUGCCACCGUGUCGGCAUACAACCCAUUUCAAUUGUACAGCGCCAUUGGAAAAUGUUAGAAGAAUUGAACAAUAAAUUGAAAAAAAAGAGACAUUUUUCCUGUGGAAAAAAACAAUUAGUGAACAAAUCAAGCAGAUGUUCUUCAGACAGCAACACAAGGUUUUGUGACGCUAUUAUUAUUUAUUCAGCUAUAUUAAUUUCUAUAUCAUCUAAAGGAGGCUCGACAGGAAUAGUAGGGGAAGCGCUACCUAAGGGGUUUCCACAUUACAGGACAGCAGAAGAACAAGGUUCUUGCUCUCAAAGUUGCACGUUGUCCCAGUAUUCCCCUCUAAGAACCCCCCACACUGAGAUUGUGUUCUCCCUUCAACUGUCGCCCAGGUCUCCUGCUGCUUUGUUCCGCGUUAUCUUAUGAUGCUGACGUUGGGAUGGGCAGGUACACCGCCGGCUGAACCGAUGCAAAGUUCUCCCUGGUCCGUCAGUGUUCUUGCCCGACUGCUGUGGCGGCUCCAGGUGGGGGCCAAUCUGUUGUAUUUUUCAAUUUUCGAGUGUCUUGAUUGACCUGAAUGAGCGUUUCUGAACAUGGCAGUGACAUUUAUACCAGAUUACGUCUGAGAAACAAUUCAUCCCCCCCUCCCCCCGCGGUGACGACGUCUCCACACAUGGCAGCGCUCUGUCCACGUUCCUUCUCAUCUCUUGAUUGGACUUGUUAGUGUUUGGAGACAGAUGACGUAUGUCAGGGUUUCGCUCAGUAAGUUCACUAUUAACACACAAGCACAUCCUGUCCAGAUGGAGUGUGUGUGCUUCACAAAGCAGACCAUCCCGUGACAAUGGAUCAAUCACCACAGAUUGCGAGAACUCAAAUGAAAAAUGUGGUCCCCUGCAGGAGCCUUGCGGUUUAUACCUGCGAGCAGACCAAGGGGAAUGAGGAUGGCAGUGUUAUUUACGGGAGAUGGACAUUUUAGACUGUGGUUGUCCCGAUUAGGACUUGAUAUAGUGUUGGAUCCGGGAGUUUCUGCCCCCCACUAAAGUACUCAGCUCUAGAACCGAGCCUCUAUCUCUGCAAGCAUAAAGUCUGUUUGAAUUAUCUGGGUGUCUCGAUAAAGGUUUUAUCCAGACGUGAAAACAUCCUUACGUUGUGGCGAUGGGGGCGGAUGGAGUAGAGCCGGUGCGCCGGGAAUCGUAAGGUUGGCGGUUUGAACCCCGGUUGCUCCGUGGUCCACGUUGAGUGUCCCUGAGUAAGACACUUAACUGCUCCCCGGGUCAUGAAAGUAAAACCAUGCAAUAUAAGUU